rnacentral:rRNA from 1 species
GCCAAGCUAAUACAUGAGUUAAGGGACGCGUUCUGUUCCGGCGGCGGGGCAACUCGCCGCCUUGGCGCGUCCGGCGAAUGAAUGAAAGUAAAACCAACGCCCUCACGGGCAGUAACACUUUAGAAGUGCUGACUCAAUUCAUUCCGUGCGAAAGCUGGGUUUUUUAUCCGGCGUCUUUUGACGAACAACUGCCCUAUCAGCCAGCGAUGGCCGUGUAGUGGACUGCCAUGGCGUUGACGGGAGCGGGGGAUUAGGGUUCGAUUCCGGAGAGGGAGCCUGAGAAAUAGCUACCACUUCUACGGAGGGCAGCAGGCGCGCAAAUUGCCCAAUGUCAAAAAAAAACGAUGAGGCAGCGAAAAGAAAUAGAGCCGAGAGCGCCUUAGGCGUUGUCGUUUUCAAUGGGGGAUAUUUAAACCCAUCCAAAAUCGAGUAACAAUUGGAGGACAAGUCUGGUGCCAGCACCCGCGGUAAUUCCAGCUCCAAAAGCGUAUAUUAAUGCUGUUGCUGUUAAAGGGUUCGUAGUUGAACUGUGGGCCUUUGAGGUGCAAUGGUUUUGUCCCGUCCACUUCGGAUUGGUGACCCAUGCCCUUGAGGUCCGUGAACACACAGAACCAAAAAACACGGGAGUGGUACCUUCCUGAUUUUCGCAUGUCAUGCAUGCCAGGGGGCGCCCGUGAUUUUUACUGUGACU